UUGUCUUUAUUUGCGUUUAAACAAUGGACUUCAAUUGAUUCUUUUUUGGUUCUCCGCAUGUUUUACUACGGUGAUUUCACUGUAAUUCAAUGUAUUGCUGUAAGAGGCGUUUAUAAUAUCUGACCUAUCUGUAGGCAAUCGACGUAGGGCUUUUGCUGGAAAUUAUUACGUUGUGAGGGUAAUCCUCUGGGUGAGCCAGUAAAAAUAUUUGGAAUAAAUGAAAAACAUACCCCUGCUUCUGGACUGCAAAAAUCCAUUGUUUGUUAUGUUAACCUCUACCUGGCCACAAUGCAAUUCAUUGUACCAAAUCUAUGUUUAAGACGUCAGCCUGGAGAUUCUCUGUUGGUUUCAUGGUAAUUCUGGUUAAAUCAACAUUACUUUGCACUGGUUGCAAACAUAUCUAUCCGGGUCCUGGGUGCUAAGAUCUCUAAGAGUUGUUUAUUCAUAUUCGUUGGUCUGCCCAGCUUGGGAAAGACUUUGCUGGCCCAGACUAUCACUGGUGAGACUGGUGUGCCAUUUUCUCAUGUUCUGAUUCAGGAUUUGUGGAGCUUCUUGUUGUUGUUGGCAAUUCAGCAUUUGUGGCCAGGGGGAUUUGAUCUGCAGAUUGUUAUUGAGCCAGCUAUUGCAGAGAGAGCGAAGAUUCUUGAAGUAGGGACUCAGCUUUGAUUUUGUGGACUGCUUUUUGAUUUUGAGUUUUUUUUGCUGCAAUUAGAUUCAAGUGAGUUCUUUCACUGCAAUUAGCUUCAUUGAAAGUUUUUAAUGUUAAUAGGAUUCAAUGAAGUUAUUUUUUUGUUCUUUUUAAUGGUCAAAGCAUCGUAGACAUUGGUUGGGUAAAGUUCAUUUUGGCAUAGGCUACCAACAAUAAAAAAGAUGAAACCAUAAAUUUUUUAGGAUGGAAACGCUACUGCUGAUCAAGCACCUGGCUUUGAGAAAGGUUGGUAGGAUAUUUUAAAAAUCUUGUUGAUGAAAAACUGCCAUAUGUCUGUCAUUAUUGUUUUAGUGUAACUAAGUUUUCUGCUCCAUGGAUUUGUGCUGAUAAAAAAAAUGAAGUUGAAAUGAUGUUGGUACUAGGUCUUACAAGAAAGGAACUGAAGUCAGCAUCAGUAGAGUUUGAUAAUGCAAAAUUGCUUAGGAUUGCAUGUUGUAGUUUUCCAUGAGGUCCCAAGACAAGAAAGAAACUGAAGUCAGUGUCAUUAGAGUUUGAUGUAGCAAAAUUGCUUAGCAUUGCGUGUAGUAGUAGUGCCAUGAAGUUUCAUGCUCUAAGGAAAUACAAAUAUUAUAAUUUGCUUAAUGUGUAAGAGCCCCUAGGAAUUUAUGAGCAUGGUUAUGUGAUACCCUUUAGGACGGCAUUCCUUCCUACAUUUCAAGCCUACACGGACACUGGCAGCAGCCUUGUAAGGGUGCCAAGCUUGCAGAUCUCUAAUACAAAUUUCUUUGAAUGCAUAGAAUGUGAACAUAUUCAGUCAUACCUGCCUUUUUCCCUGUGAACUCACAUUCUAGUAAGCCUGAGCUCUGCACUGGCAAUCUCUAUUGAGAUAUACAUGCUUAAGAAAAUAAGUAUGAGCCAUGUAAUGCUGCUGGGUGUCCUCUGAGAACUUCAUGCCCACCAUUUUCAAACAAAAUGGGGAUGGCAUAUAACAGUUACCCUAACGAAGGACCAGCUCAUGCUUCAAGGCAUUCCCUUUCCAAAACAGUCCUAUAAUUCUGUUUUUGGGUGUGCAGGUGCCUUAAAUGAAGCAGUUUGUAUUGCAGGUUGUGAAAGGGUGCCCUGUUAUUCCCUUCAUUAUUGAGCUCAAUUUAGCUAUAAGGGAGUCUGUUAUUGUCUAAUAAGCACACAAUUCUAAGGUUUCCAAUCUUUUGAUAUUGGAUGCAUCUUUAAUCAUUGAUGGUGGAUUAAUGCAAUAUAGUGCCAUGCUAGACGAUGCUAUGUAUCCCAACUAUUACUGCAUUGAUAUCCAGAGAAUCAGUAUUGAUAACACAUAUCUAGAGAUCCCAGCACUUCACAGGAAAUAAUUGCUUAUUCCGGAUCUCAUGAAUAUGAAAAAUGCACUACUUUUGAUUUUUGCUAUCAGACAACCUCCUCACAAAACUAGCCAAGUUUCCCAUAUGCAUCAUUUCAUUUCAAAAAUAAUGUCAUGAUUUAACUUAUGAGAAUCACUUCUAUUCUUUCUCUCCUUCCUCAGUAACAUUUAAUAAUACUGCUUUAAAAGUGCAUUGCCUGCUGCUUCAAUGUGCAGAAGAUGUCGGAAUUGGGCCGGCUGCAAUCUUUGCCAACUUUUUGCAGCAAAAAUUUCAAGCUUCCUAUGAUAUGUAGAAGAUAAGAACUAGGUUUCAACCAAAGGAUUGUGUGGCUUCUGACCAUCUUUUUAAAGACAAUCGCGAUUGAUUGUCAAUAUAUAUCUUUGUACUUAUGGUAGGAAGAUUUUCUGUUCAACAUGAGAUGUCUGUUAUCUUUCUCGUUCUAAUGGAUUUUGUAUUCUGAAUCAUUGAGGUAUCUAAAUCCUCUAUCAAAC